rnacentral:lncRNA from 1 species
GGAGAGCUUGGAUUCACAUCAAGCACACUCUGUCUGCCCAGGUUUGGGCUGUUUUCUGGAAUGAAUACUACUCAAAAUUCAACCUAAAUGCUGAAAAUAAAGCAAAAUUAACAUUAAAAGUAGCUUUCUACAAACAUGGAACAGAAAAAGAUCUACCACAACCAUGAGGAAAAACAGGUACCCUGUCCCUGAAGAUGCCAGAGCCUUAACAAGAGGAGAUAUGAACCUGGGCAAUUCCAUUAUCCUGAAGAAGCCCAGGUCCAAAGAAAGAAGAGAGGUGGGCCUGGGAUAGUCCCUAACCUUGAAGCAUACAGGGCCCAAACCAAAAGGUGUGUGGAUCUCAGCCAAUCCCUGACCCUGAAGAGGCCUAGGUGCAAAGAAAGAUGUGAUAUGGGCCUGGGCCUAUCGCUAAACCUGAAGCAGCCUGGGCCUAAAGAAGAGUGGACCUGGGCUAAUGCCUGUCCCUGAAAAAGCUUAAGCCCAAAGCAAAUAGUGGUAUGUACCUGGGUCUAUCCCUCACUCCGAAGAGGCUCAGGCACACAGAAUAAGAAAUGUAGGUCUGGGCCAAUCCAGGAUCCUUAAAACGCUUGGACCCAAACAAUUGGAGAUAUGAGCCUUGACCCUGAAGAGGCUUGGGCCCAAAGCACACUGAGCCAGUGGCCUGGGCCAAUCCUUCACCCUGAGAAAUACUGGUUUCCAAGAAAGAAGUAAUGUGGAUCUAGUUCUCUACCUAACCCUGAAGAGACCUAGACCAAGAACAAUAAGUGAUCUGGGCCUUGGCCUGGGUUUAUCCCUAACAUGA